GAUAAACGCUGGCGGCGUGCCUAAUACAUGCAAGUCGAGCGAAUGGAUUAAGAGCUUGCUCUUAUGAAGUUAGCGGCGGACGGGUGAGUAACACGUGGGUAACCUGCCCAUAAGACUGGGAUAACUCCGGGAAACCGGGGCUAAUACCGGAUAACAUUUUGAACCGCAUGGUUCGAAAUUGAAAGGCGGCUUCGGCUGUCACUUAUGGAUGGACCCGCGUCGCAUUAGCUAGUUGGUGAGGUAACGGCUCACCAAGGCAACGGUGCGUAGCCGACCGUAGAGGGUGAUCAGCCACACUGGGACUGAGACCCGGCCCAGACUCCUACGGGAGGAAGCAGUAGGGAAUUUUCCGCAAUGGACGAAAGUCUGACGGAGCAACGCCGCGUGAGUGAUGAAGGCUUUCGGGUCGUAAAACUCUGUUGUUAGGGAAGAACAAGUGCUAGUUGAAUAAGCUGGCACCUUGACGGUACCUAACCAGAAAGCCACGGCUAACUACGUGCCAGCAGCCGCAGUAA
rnacentral:rRNA from 1 species